rnacentral:misc_RNA from 1 species
GAGUGAUACUUUAGGUCCAAUUACCAAAGCUAGAGUCAGAAUGCUACAAGGUCUAGUGCAAGAGGAGCUGAGCAAGGAUUGCAAGGAAGCAUCAAGAGUUGAGUCGAAUAAUAAGUGGAUCACUUUAGCACAAGUCUAUUCGGCAUAAUAUGGCAAAUUGGACGUGCAUGUUGGAGUGCGAGGGCGUGCAGCAUGGAUCCCAUUUUCUACUUCCAAUUUCCUCUUCCUUUUCCACAAGUUAUUCUCG